CCCUAGUAACUGCGAGUGAAGCGGGAAAAGCUCAAAUUUAAAAUCUGGCGGUCUUUGGCCGUCCGAGUUGUAGUCUGGAGAAGUGCUUUCCGCGCUGGACCGUGUAUAAGUCUCUUGGAACAGAGCGUCAUAGAGGGUGAGAAUCCCGUCUUUGACACGGACUACCAGUGCUUUGUGAUGCGCUCUCAAAGAGUCGAGUUGUUUGGGAAUGCAGCUCAAAAUGGGUGGUGAAUUCCAUCUAAAGCUAAAUAUUGGCGAGAGACCGAUAGCGAACAAGUACCGUGAGGGAAAGAUGAAAAGCACUUUGGAAAGAGAGUUAAACAGUACGUGAAAUUGCUGAAAGGGAAACGCUUGAAGUCAGUCGCGUUGUCCGGAACUCAGCCUUGCUUUUGCUUGGUGCACUUUCCGGAUGACGGGUCAGCAUCGAUUUUGACCGUCGGAAAAGGGCUGGAGUAAUGUGGCACCUCCGGGUGUGUUAUAGACUCUGGUCGCAUACGGCGGUUGGGAUCGAGGAACGCAGCGCGCCGCAAGGCAGGGGUUCGCCCACUUUCGCGCUUAGGAUGCUGGCAUAAUGGCUUUAAACGACCCGUCUUGAAACACGGACCAAGGAGUCUAACAUACCUGCGAGUGUUUGGGUGGAAAACCCGAGCGCGUAAUGAAAGUGAAAGUUGAGAUCCCUGUCGUGGGGAGCAUCGACGCCCGGACCAGACGUUCUCUGACGGAUCCGCGGUAGAGCAUGUAUGUUGGGACCCGAAAGAUGGUGAACUAUGCCUGAAUAGGGUGAAGCCAGAGGAAACUCUGGUGGAGGCUCGUAGCGAUUCUGACGUGCAAAUCGAUCGUCAAAUUUGGGUAUAGGGGCGAAAGACUAAUCG
rnacentral:rRNA from 1 species